rnacentral:rRNA from 1 species
CAGUCGUACCUUCGGGUAAUCAGCCUUUCGGGUGCGAUUCUGUGGGGUGUGAGGAGCUUAACACCUUCAUGCUUUGCAUAUUUGUGCUCUUGGGUGUACUUGCCCGUGUGGUUGGUUAACAUCAAUUUUGGUUAUCAUAAAAUGACUGGAGGAAUGUAGCUUCGAUCUCGUAUUGAAGUGUUUAUAGCCUUCGGUAGAUGUGAUGAACGAGAUUGAGGAUUGCAACGGAUACCCUUCGGGGCUACCUGUCUGGUCUCUGAUCGUUGCUCUGGUGCCGAAAGCUUGCUUACGGUCAUCAAAGUCGAUGGUCAAUAGGUUAGAACGGGUUAAA